AGGGAUAUAACUGAGAGGUAAAGUGUCACCUUGUCGUGGUGGAAGUCAUCAGUUUGAGCCUGAUUAUCCCUA
rnacentral:tRNA from 1 species